GCUGGAGCUGGGGUGGAACCCCAGGUCAUGCCGGGAAUUCCAGCCAGGACAGCAGCUGACUGCAUUUCCUCUGUGUCAUAGUCAGCACCAGCUGCCCUGCAAAAUACCACCGACAGACACCUAUUUUCUGAGAGUUCAGAGGCUGGAAUGCUGGGAUCGGGGUGCCAGCCUGUGGGGUCCUGGUGAAGACCCUCUUUCUGGUUUGUAGCUGUGUUCUCACAUGGCACUGAGACAGAGCAAGCCCUCUGGCAUCUCUUCUUACAGGACCCUGAUCUUGUUAGGAAGGCUCCACCCUCAUGGCCCUAACUAACCCUAAUCACCUUUCCCCCCGAGACAAAAAUAUAGAUAUCGGAGGUUAGGGCUUCAAAUCUGAAUUUGAGGGGGACACGAGUAUUCAGUCUGUAGCACAGUGCCAUUGAAGCUGGGAGUUCUCCCAACCAGGUUCCUACUGACCUGUUUUCAGAACCCUUGGUGGCUCUGCCCCUGCAUCCUGGCUGCUGCCCCUGGUCACUCACCCUUCAGCUGGUUGCUCGGAGGAGCUGUUGCAGGAUGGGGGGAUUCUAGCAGCUUCCACCCUCGGCCUCAGCCUGGACCUCCUUCACGACAGAGUCUCCAGGGCCUAAGCAGAUGUCUGGUCACCACAACGGAAACUGAGAAGGAUUGCAGUUAGGAGCCACAGUGACCUGUGGUCUCUAGUCCGGAUGGCCCUGUGGGGAGCACUCGAGGAAGAAGAGGCUGACCGGCCCAAAGAGAUUUGCAGUUGAUGAUGUGCUGGCCAACUAAGUCCCAACACCCACGAAACUAUAAAAUGCAAAAGCACAAAGGCUUGGGGAAGAUGGCAAGUUAUAACAGAAUAAAGAAAGAUAUCAGGAGGAACAACUCCAGUUCCAGGAUCUUUUUCCAGAUAUUAGCUGGCAGUUCACCCCUCCUUCCACCUGUAGUACCAGCCAUUCAUGCCACUAUCCUGCCAACAGACUAUAGACACAAACUCAGGUUAAGAAUCGUUGCUGAUUUUUCUAAAAGAGAGACUUUGAUUCCAUUUUACUUCAUGCUGUAAACCUGUGUUUGGAGAAGACAAUGGCACCCCACUCCAGUACUCUUGCCUGGAAAAUCCCAUGGACGGAGGAGCCUGGUGGGCUGCAGUCCGUGGGGUGUCGAAGAGUCGGACACGACUGAGCGACCUCACUUUCACUUUUCACUUUCAUGCAUUGGAGAAGGAAAUGGCAACCCACUCCAGUGUUCUUGCCUGGAGAAUCCCAGGGAUGGUGGAGCCUGGUGGGCUGCCGUCUAUGGGGUUGCACAGAGUCGGACACGACUGAAGCAACUUAGCAGCAGCAGUAAACCUGUGGUGGGCAGUCGUGGGCCCCACUCAGUCACAGCACUGCAGGACGCAGAGACACAGGGGCUGCUGGAAGGUAUCAGACUGCUGACGGAGAGCCUAACUUUAUUUUCCUUCUUUCUUUUUUAAAGUCUUUAUUGACCUUGUUACAGUAUUGUUUCUGUUUUUUAUAUUUUGGUGUUUUGGCCAUGAGGCAUGUGGGAUCCUACCUUCCCGACUAGGGGUGGAACCCAUACCCCCGAGUAGGAAGGUGAAGUCUUCAGAGCUGGCCCAUCAGAGAAGUCCCUGGAGUUAUUUCUAAGUCAUCCUUUUAGAGAUCCAGGUCACAGGGCCUUUCACUCCUAAAUUCCUCUUAUAGUUUCAAGGACAACACAUCAGAAUAUUGUAUUGUUUAGAGACCGUCAUUGUCACUCGAAUGGACACGCGAUCUAAUGCUGUCCCGUGACCCAGAAGGUAGUGGGCUUGAAGGCUUUGACCCUGUAAAGGUGAUCAUAAGCUAAUCAAAAUUCUUCCUUCUGAAAUCUGGACUAAAUGACAUGUGAUCUCUUGGUGAGUGGGUAGUGAAAGGAGAAUUCACAAGCAGAGAAAGAGAGGCACAAACAGGAGACCACGUGAGUCAGAUAAGCUGGAGGCAAGGAGAAGACAAACUGAGCUGUGAGUGGUCCAUCUGCUCGCAUCCUUAUAAGACACCAACUUUCUCUUUAAGAGGAUGAAAUGCCUUGUUUUUGUUUUGAACAAUCAAAAAUGCUCCAAGCUUGUUUUCAUUCUAGUGUUCACAGUGAUUAGCAUAAGCUUGACACAAAGUAAGUCUUAAUGUUUAUGGAAAUAAAUAAUUCAUUUGUUUUCUCA
ensembl:lncRNA